UGAGUCUUCUAUCAAAAGUUACAGCGAUUUAUAUGAAGUUGUUCAAAAACGCUUUCUUUCGCCAAGACAAUGCGUUUCUCACGGUUACAUGCAUUUGAAUGGGAAACUCGCCUGAAACAAAGUAUAGGUUUUCAUUAUGUGAAUAAUUUUAAAAUCUUAGCUCAAACGGCUGCAAAACCUGUUUGCCCAGCACGGGGAUAUUGAGUUCUAUAAGAUAAAGCCAUAAACAUGUUUGUCUGAGUCUUCUAUCAAAAGUUACAGCGAUUUAUAUGAAGUUGUUCAAAAACGCUUUAUUUCGCCAAGACAAUGCGUUUCUCACUGUUACAUGCAUUUGAAUGGGAAACUCGCCUGAAACAAAGUAUAGGUUUUCAUUAUGUGAAUAAUUUUAAAAUCUUAGCUCAAACGGCUGCAAAACCUGUUUUGCCCAGCACGGGGAUAUUGAGUUCUAUAAGAUAAAGCCAUAAACAUGUUUGUCUGAGUCUUCUAUCAAAAGUUACAGCGAUUUAUAUGAAGUUGUUCAAAAACGCUUUAUUUCGCCAAGACAAUGCGUUUCUCACUGUUACAUGCAUUUGAAUGGGAAACUCGCCUGAAACAAAGUAUAGGUUUUCAUUAUGUGAAUAAUUUUAAAAUCUUAGCUCAAACGGCUGCAAAACCUGUUUGCCCAGCACGGGGAUAUUGAGUUCUAUAAGAUAAAGCCAUAAACAUGUUUGUCUGAGUCUUCUAUCAAAAGUUACAGCGAUUUAUAUGAAGUUGUACAAAAACGCUUUAUUUCGCCAAGACAAUGCGUUUCUCACUGUUACAUGCAUUUGAAUGGGAAACUCGCCUGAAACAAAGUAUAGGUUUUCAUUAUGUGAAUAAUUUUAAAAUCUUAGCUCAAACGGCUGCAAAACCUGUUUGCCCAGCACGGGGAUAUUGAGUUCUAUAAGAUAAAGCCAUAAACAUGUUUGUCUGAGUCUUCUAUCAAAAGUUACAGCGAUUUAUAUGAAGUUGUUCAAAAACGCUUUAUUUCGCCAAGACAAUGCGUUUCUCACUGUUACAUGCAUUUGAAUGGGAAACUCGCCUGAAACAAAGUAUAGGUUUUCAUUAUGUGAAUAAUUUUAAAAUCUUAGCUCAAACGGCUGCAAAACCUGUUUGCCCAGCACGGGGAUAUUGAGUUCUAUAAGAUAAAGCCAUAAACAUGUUUG
ensembl:lncRNA